GGUUAAGCGACUAAGCGUACACGGUGGAUGCCCUGGCAGUCAGAGGCGAUGAAGGACGUGCUAAUCUGCGAUAAGCGUCGGUAAGGUGAUAUGAACCGUUAUAACCGGCGAUUUCCGAAUGGGGAAACCCAGUGUGAUUCGUCACACUAUCAUUAACUGAAUCCAUAGGUUAAUGAGGCGAACCGGGGGAACUGAAACAUCUAAGUACCCCGAGGAAAAGAAAUCAACCGAGAUUCCCCCAGUAGCGGCGAGCGAACGGGGAGCAGCCCAGAGCCUGAAUCAGUGUGUGUGUUAGUGGAAGCGUCUGGAAAGGCGUGCGAUACAGGGUGACAGCCCCGUACACAAAAAUGCACAUACUGUGAGCUCGAUGAGUAGGGCGGGACACGUGGUAUCCUGUCUGAAUAUGGGGGGACCAUCCUCCAAGGCUAAAUACUCCUGACUGACCGAUAGUGAACCAGUACCGUGAGGGAAAGGCGAAAAGAACCCCGGCGAGGGGAGUGAAAAAGAACCUGAAACCGUGUACGUACAAGCAGUGGGAGCACGCUUAGGCGUGUGACUGCGUACCUUUUGUAUAAUGGGUCAGCGACUUAUAUUCUGUAGCAAGGUUAACCGAAUAGGGGAGCCGAAGGGAAACCGAGUCUUAACUGGGCGUUAAGUUGCAGGGUAUAGACCCGAAACCCGGUGAUCUAGCCAUGGGCAGGUUGAAGGUUGGGUAACACUAACUGGAGGACCGAACCGACUAAUGUUGAAAAAUUAGCGGAUGACUUGUGGCUGGGGGUGAAAGGCCAAUCAAACCGGGAGAUAGCUGGUUCUCCCCGAAAGCUAUUUAGGUAGCGCCUCGUGAAUUCAUCUCCGGGGGUAGAGCACUGUUUCGGCAAGGGGGUCAUCCCGACUUACCAACCCGAUGCAAACUGCGAAUACCGGAGAAUGUUAUCACGGGAGACACACGGCGGGUGCUAACGUCCGUCGUGAAGAGGGAAACAACCCAGACCGCCAGCUAAGGUCCCAAAGUCAUGGUUAAGUGGGAAACGAUGUGGGAAGGCCCAGACAGCCAGGAUGUUGGCUUAGAAGCAGCCAUCAUUUAAAGAAAGCGUAAUAGCUCACUGGUCGAGUCGGCCUGCGCGGAAGAUGUAACGGGGCUAAACCAUGCACCGAAGCUGCGGCAGCGACGCUUAUGCGUUGUUGGGUAGGGGAGCGUUCUGUAAGCCUGUGAAGGUGUGCUGUGAGGUAUGCUGGAGGUAUCAGAAGUGCGAAUGCUGACAUAAGUAACGAUAAAGCGGGUGAAAAGCCCGCUCGCCGGAAGACCAAGGGUUCCUGUCCAACGUUAAUCGGGGCAGGGUGAGUCGACCCCUAAGGCGAGGCCGAAAGGCGUAGUCGAUGGGAAACAGGUUAAUAUUCCUGUACUUGGUGUUACUGCGAAGGGGGGACGGAGAAGGCUAUGUUGGCCGGGCGACGGUUGUCCCGGUUUAAGCGUGUAGGCUGGUUUUCCAGGCAAAUCCGGAAAAUCAAGGCCGAGGCGUGAUGACGAGGCACUACGGUGCUGAAGCAACAAAUGCCCUGCUUCCAGGAAAAGCCUCUAAGCAUCAGGUAACAUCAAAUCGUACCCCAAACCGACACAGGUGGUCAGGUAGAGAAUACCAAGGCGCUUGAGAGAACUCGGGUGAAGGAACUAGGCAAAAUGGUGCCGUAACUUCGGGAGAAGGCACGCUGAUACGUAGGUGAAGCGACUUGCUCGUGGAGCUGAAAUCAGUCGAAGAUACCAGCUGGCUGCAACUGUUUAUUAAAAACACAGCACUGUGCAAACACGAAAGUGGACGUAUACGGUGUGACGCCUGCCCGGUGCCGGAAGGUUAAUUGAUGGGGUUAGCGCAAGCGAAGCUCUUGAUCGAAGCCCCGGUAAACGGCGGCCGUAACUAUAACGGUCCUAAGGUAGCGAAAUUCCUUGUCGGGUAAGUUCCGACCUGCACGAAUGGCGUAAUGAUGGCCAGGCUGUCUCCACCCGAGACUCAGUGAAAUUGAACUCGCUGUGAAGAUGCAGUGUACCCGCGGCAAGACGGAAAGACCCCGUGAACCUUUACUAUAGCUUGACACUGAACAUUGAGCCUUGAUGUGUAGGAUAGGUGGGAGGCUUUGAAGUGUGGACGCCAGUCUGCAUGGAGCCGACCUUGAAAUACCACCCUUUAAUGUUUGAUGUUCUAACGUGGACCCGUGAUCCGGGUUGCGGACAGUGUCUGGUGGGUAGUUUGACUGGGGCGGUCUCCUCCUAAAGAGUAACGGAGGAGCACGAAGGUUGGCUAAUCCUGGUCGGACAUCAGGAGGUUAGUGCAAUGGCAUAAGCCAGCUUGACUGCGAGCGUGACGGCGCGAGCAGGUGCGAAAGCAGGUCAUAGUGAUCCGGUGGUUCUGAAUGGAAGGGCCAUCGCUCAACGGAUAAAAGGUACUCCGGGGAUAACAGGCUGAUACCGCCCAAGAGUUCAUAUCGACGGCGGUGUUUGGCACCUCGAUGUCGGCUCAUCACAUCCUGGGGCUGAAGUAGGUCCCAAGGGUAUGGCUGUUCGCCAUUUAAAGUGGUACGCGAGCUGGGUUUAGAACGUCGUGAGACAGUUCGGUCCCUAUCUGCCGUGGGCGCUGGAGAACUGAGGGGGGCUGCUCCUAGUACGAGAGGACCGGAGUGGACGCAUCACUGGUGUUCGGGUUGUCAUGCCAAUGGCACUGCCCGGUAGCUAAAUGCGGAAGAGAUAAGUGCUGAAAGCAUCUAAGCACGAAACUUGCCCCGAGAUGAGUUCU
rnacentral:rRNA from 1 species